rnacentral:rRNA from 1 species
GACGAACGCUGGCGGCGUGCUUAACACAUGCAAGUCGAACGGUGAAGCGCCUUCCUUUUUGGUGGGUGUGGAUGAGUGGCGAACGGGUGAGUAACACGUGAGCAACCUGCCCCCUUCUUCUGGAUAACCGCAUGAAAGUGUGGCUAAUACGGGAUAUUCUGGGUCUGUCGCAUGAUGGGUCUGGGAAAGAUAUUGUUUCGGUGGGGGAUGGGCUCGCGGCCUAUCAGCUUGUUGGUGGGGUGAUGGCCUACCAAGGCGGUGACGGGUAGCCGGCCUGAGAGGGUGGACGGUCACACUGGGACUGAGACACGGCCCAGACUCCUACGGGAGGCAGCAGUGGGGAAUAUUGCACAAUGGGCGCAAGCCUGAUGCAGCGACGCCGCGUGAGGGAUGGAGGCCUUCGGGUUGUGAACCUCUUUCGCCAGUGAAGCAGGCCUGCCUCGUUUGUGGGUGGGUUGACGGUAGCUGGAUAAGAAGCGCCGGCUAACUACGUG